UCCAGUUGAUCCUGCUGGAGGGAACUGCUAUCAGAAUUAGACUAAGCCAUGCAAGUCUUUCCGUAAGGAAGGCGAACGGCUCAGUAACACGUGGAGAAUCUGCCCUUAAGUGGGGAAUACCCUUGGGAAACUGAGGAUAAUACCCCAUAGUUCUCGAAUACUGGAAUGUUUCGAGAUCCAAAGCUUCGGCGCUUAAGGAUGACUCUGCGGCUGAUUAGAUUGUUGGUGAGGUAACGGCCCACCAAGUCGAUAAUCAGUACGGGCCUUGGGAGAGGAAGCCCGGAGAGGGGGACUGAGAUAAGGCCCCCAGCCCUACGGGGUGCAGCAGGCGCGAAAACUUUGCAAUGCGCGAAAGCGUGACAAGGUAAUUCUGAGUGCUUUUCUUCGUGAAAAGCUUUUUGGUAGAGCAGGAAUCUAUCAGAAUAAGGACUGGGAAAGACCCGUGCCAGCCGCCGCGGUAAUACGGGCAGUUCAAGUAGUUCCCACGAAUACUGGGCUUAAAGCCUACGUAGCUGGGAAGUUAAGUCCCCUGUGAAAUCGGAUGACUUAAUCAUUCGGCUUGCGGGGGAAACUAGUUUCCUUGGGACCGGAAGAAGUGUUGGGUACUUGUGGGGUAGGGGUGAAAUCCGUCGAUCCCAUGGGGACCACCUGUGGCGAAGGCGCAACACUAGGACGGAUCCGACAGUGAGGUACGAAGGCUUGGGGAGCGACCCGGAUUAGAUACCCGGUUAGUCCAAGCUGUAAACGAUGCCCUCUAGGUGUGUCACAACCUCCGAGGUUGUGACGUGCCGAAGCGAAAGCGUUAAGAGGGCCGCCUGGGGAGUACGGUCGCAAGACUGAAACUUAAAGGAAUUGGCGGGGGAGCACUACAAGGGGUGGAGGCUGCGGUUCAAUUGGACACAACCCCAGGAACAUCACCAGAGGAGACAGCAGUAUGAUGGUCAGUCUGAAGGGCUUACUUGACACGCUGAGAGGUGGUGCAUGGCCAUCGUCAGCUCGUGCCGUGAGGUGUCCUGUUAAGUCAGGCAACGAGCGAGACCCCCAUCAUUAGUUGCAAUCAGUUAAAGAGUUUAGCUGAGCACUCUAAUGAGACCGCCAUGGUUAACAUGGAGGAAGGAGGGGGCGACGGUAGGUCUGUAUGCCCCGGAUCUUCUGGGCUACACGUGGCCUACAAUGGAUGAGACAACGGGCUGCGACUCCGAAAGGAGAAGCCAAUCUCUUAAACUCAUCCUCAGUUCGGAUCGUGGGCUGCAACUCGCCCACGUGAAGCUGGAAUCCCUAGUAAUCGCGUUUCAACAUAACGCGGUGAAUACGUCCCUGCUCCUUGCACACACCGCCCGUCAAGCCACCCAAAUGGGGGUUAGGUGAGGCUUCGGUUUUUGCCGGAUUCGAACCUAGCUUUCGUAAGGGGGGCUAAGUCGUAACAAGGUG
rnacentral:rRNA from 1 species